rnacentral:piRNA from 1 species
UNGGAGCCUCUGCAACCUCGCAUUGAGAGA